UACGUAGGGGGCAAGCGUUGUCCGGAUUUAUUGGGCGUAAAGAGCGUGUAGGCGGCUUGGUAGGUCCGCUGUGAAAACUCGAGGCUCAACCUCGAGAUGUCGGCGGAAACCACUUGGCUAGAGUCCGGAAGAGGAGAGUGGAAUUCCCGGUGUAGCGGUGAAAUGUGCAGAUAUCGGGAAGAACACCUAUGGCGAAGGCAGCUCUCUGGGACGGUACUGACGCUGAGACGCGAAAGCGUGGGGAGCGAACAGG
rnacentral:rRNA from 1 species